rnacentral:lncRNA from 1 species
ACUGCGAUACACACUGCGGAAUAAUUCAGUGCAGAACAACACGUGGAUUGCUCAGUACAACUUGUUCAUCACAUCCUCCUGUUCACUGAAGAAUUAUGGAAAUAUUCUCUGAGCUGCUUUCCUCCCUGCCCAACGAGUCAUCUCUGUGUGAAAGGCCAAGCUUAUAAAUCCUGGCAGGUCCCUGAUGCUGUUAUUCCUGACUGUGUGAGACCUCUGAACAGAGGGGAAGAAGCUGGCUGCAAUCUUUGCUGUUUCACGGCCUUCAUUUGUGAUACAUCCAGAAAACUGCAGCAGCCCUAUGAUAGAGUAGCCUGAUGGUUGAAAACAACAACAACAUCAACAAGAAAGACCCAACUAAAAUCUCAUUCAAAGAAGAAAGAGACAUUAUACAAAUGCAAGCUGUUGUCACAACAAUGAUAAGAAAUCAGGAGUCGAAAGAUGUGGAGUAAGGGGGAAUUUCAGAGAAACCACAAAACACAAAAUAGGAAACAGAGACAGGAGAAGAUUGCUAUGACAAAAUUGCAGAAGGUGAAAUCUUUGGCAGCCUCUUAUUUCUCUGGAGAAUAUGAUAUUGUCAGGCUGAGGUGGAAGAAUCACAUGGUCAUACUGUUGAAGAGGUCUUGAAACAUUGGGCUUUCCUCUACAAGCGGAAGGAUAGCACUGGCAGCCAUCCACUGGCCCAGCAAUAUCCUGGAUUGAGACGAUAUCAUUUGCAUUACUUGCUGAAUGAAACAUAGUGAAAAUGACUGCAGAUAACCUCAACUAAGUCCAAGAUAUCAUUUUCAAAUCUGGACCAGCCCUUGCCAUCUAGACUGAACAGAGAUUCCAGUUUCCAGGAGAGUAGAUGGAGUAAUGAUAAAAGCACCUCCCAAAACUUUUGCCUUGGUACUACAGAGUGGCACAUAACUAAACAUUAUCAAGGAAUUUUACAGCCCUAGGCCUUCUAUUACUGUGUAUUACAGUCUGCUGUAAUCAUUCUAAUGGUCUAAGAUGUUGCAAGUAAUUUACUCACGGCCUGAACACCAGAAGUGCCAAAAUUGCCUGGGAGUUUUAUUCUGCAUCCAACCAGUACCAGGAAGGAGGAUGUAUUACUUCUCGUUUCUCUACAAGUGUCAGUGCAAAUCCAGCCAUCAAACAAAACUUAGACCUAAAAGCUUUUAGAUUACAGCGAUUAUUGCAGAUUUUACAUGAGAUAAAAAUGUAAUUGCUCC